GAACCAACAGGGAUUGCCCCAGUAACGGCGAGUGAAGCGGCAGGAGCUCAAAUUUGAAAUCUGGGGCCCCCGGCCUCCGAGUUGUAAUUUGGAGAGGCUCCUUCGGGGGGGAGCGCUGGCCCAUGUUCCUUGGAACAGGACGUCGCAGAGGGUGAGAAUCCCGUGCCAGGCCGGCUGCCUCCUCCCGCGUGAAGGGCCUUCGACGAGUCGAGUUGUUUGGGAAUGCAGCUCCAAGUGGGUGGUAAAUUUCAUCUAAAGCUAAAUACCGGCGGGAGACCGAUAGCGCACAAGUAGAGUGAUCGAAAGAUGAAAAGCACUUUGAAAAUAGAGUCAAAAAGUACGUGAAAUUGUUGAAAGGGAAGCGCUUGAGACCAGACUCAGACCCAGGCAAACACCGCGCCCCCAGGGGCCGUGCAAUUGCCCGGUGCUGGGCCAGCAUCAGUUGGCGUGGCGGGACAAGGGCGCGGGAAAUGUGGCUCCCCUCGGGGAGUGUUAUCAGGCCCGCGCCGGAUGCCGCCGACGCCGACUGAGGACCGCGCCUCGGCUAGGAUGCUGGCUUAAUGGCCUUCAGCGACCCGUCUUGAAACACGGACCAAGGAGUCUAACAUCUAUGCGAGUGUUUGGGCGCCAAACCCUUGCGCGGAAUGAAAGUGAGCGGAGGUGGGAACCCCUAGCCGGGCGCACCAUCGACCGAUCCUGAUGUCUUCGGAUGGAUUUGAGUAGGAGCAUAGCUGUUGGGACCCGAAAGAUGGUGAACUAUGCCUGAAUAGGGUGAAGCCAGAGGAAACUCUGGUGGAGGCUCGCAGCGGUUCUGACGUGCAAAUCGAUCGUCAAAUUUGGGUAUAGGGGCGAAAGACUAAUCGAACCAUCUAGUAGCUGGUCCUGC
rnacentral:rRNA from 1 species